rnacentral:ncRNA from 1 species
GAGGAAGCCGGUGUGAUCCCGGCGCGGUCCCGCCACUGUGAGCCCGGGACGCGGGCGAGCCAGACACUC